GAUGAACGCUGGCGGCGUGCCUAAUACAUGCAAGUCGAGCGAAGCGGGGACGCGUGAGUGAGAAGUGGAUAGCCUCCUGUACUACUGGGAUGACUUCGGGAAAGCAAAGCUUAACAGAAUACUUUUAGAUGGUUCCGUGCUGGAUUAGCUAGUUGGUAAGGUACCGGCUUACCUAGGCAGCGAUGCAUAGCCGACCGGAGAGGGUGAUCGGCAACACUGGAACGGAGACACGGUCCAGACUCCUACGGGAGGCAGCAGUAGGGAAUCUUCCGCAAUGGGCGAAAGCCUGACGGAGCAACACCGCGUGAGUGAUGAAGGUCUUCGGAUCGUAAAACUCUGUUAUUAGGGAAGCGGUACCUAACCAGAAAGCCACGGCUAACUACGUGCCAGCAGCCGCGGUAAUAC
rnacentral:rRNA from 1 species